CACGUAGGGCGCAAGCGUUGUCCGGAAUUAUUGGGCGUAAAGAGCUCGUAGGCGGUCUGUUGCGUCCGCUGUGAAAACUCGGGGCUUAACCCCGAGCCUGCAGUGGAUACGGGCAGACUAGAGGUAGGUAGGGGAGAAUGGAAUUCCCGGUGUAGCGGUGAAAUGCGCAGAUAAUCGGGAGGAACACCGGUGGCGAAGGCGGUUCUCUGGGCCUUACCUGACGCUCAGGUGCGAAAGCUAGGGGAGCGAACAGG
rnacentral:rRNA from 1 species